GUGAACGCUGGCGGUAGGCCUAACACAUGCCAGUCGAACGGCAGCACAGUAAGAGCUUGCUCUUACGGGUGGCGAGUGGCGGACGGGUGAGGAAUACAUCGGAAUCUACUUUUUCGUGGGGGAUAACGUAGGGAAACUUACGCUAAUACCGCAUACGACCUACGGGUGAAAGCAGGGGAUCUUCGGACCUUGCGCGAUUGAAUGAGCCGAUGUCGGAUUAGCUAGUUGGCGGGGUAAAGGCCCACCAAGGCGACGAUCCGUAGCUGGUCUGAGAGGAUGAUCAGCCACACUGGAACUGAGACACGGUCCAGACUCCUACGGGAGGCAGCAGUGGGGAAUAUUGGACAAUGGGCGCAAGCCUGAUCCAGCCAUACCGCGUGGGUGAAGAAGGCCUUCGGGUUGUAAAGCCCUUUUGUUGGGAAAGAAAAGCAGCAGGUUAAUACCCCGCCGUUCUGACGGUACCCAAAGAAUAAGCACCGGCUAACUUCGUG
rnacentral:rRNA from 1 species